CAAUAGCGUAUAUUAAAGUUGUUGCAGUUAAAAAGCUCGUAGUUGAAUUUUUGCUUGCCGCCGAUGUCGGAACUUCCGUACGUUCGGCGGCGUGCAUCCUUGGGUGGAACCUGUGUGGCAUUAGGUUGUCGUGCAGGGGAUGCUCAUCGUUUACUGUGAAAAAAUUAGAGUGUUCAAAGCAGGCUUACGCCGUUGAAUAUAUUAGCAUGGAAUAAUAAGAUAGGACCUUGGUACUAUUUUGUUGGUUUGCGCACCAAGGUAAUGAUUAACAGGGACAGUUGGGGGUAUUCGUAUUCCAUUGUCAGAGGUGAAAUUCUUGGAUUUCUGGAAGACGAACUACUGCGAAAGCAUUUACCAAGGAUGUUUNCAUUAA
rnacentral:rRNA from 1 species